CUCAGGAUGAACGCUAGCGGGAGGCCUAACACAUGCAAGCCGAGCGGUAGAGAUUCUUCGGAAUCUUGAGAGCGGCGUACGGGUGCGGAACACGUGUGCAACCUGCCUUUAUCUGGGGGAUAGCCUUUCGAAAGGAAGAUUAAUACCCCAUAAUAUAUUGAGUGGCAUCACUUAAUAUUGAAAACUCCGGUGGAUAGAGAUGGGCACGCGCAAGAUUAGAUAGUUGGUGAGGUAACGGCUCACCAAGUCUACGAUCUUUAGGGGGCCUGAGAGGGUGAUCCCCCACACUGGUACUGAGACACGGACCAGACUCCUACGGGAGGCAGCAGUGAGGAAUAUUGGACAAUGGGUGAGAGCCUGAUCCAGCCAUCCCGCGUGAAGGACGACGGCCCUAUGGGUUGUAAACUUCUUUUGUAUAGGGAUAAACCUAGAUACGUGUAUCUAGCUGAAGGUACUAUACGAAUAAGCACCGGCUAACUCCGUGCCAGCAGCCGCGGUAAUACGGAGGGUGCAAGCGUUAUCCGGAUUUAUUGGGUUUAAAGGGUCCGUAGGCGGAUCUGUAAGUCAGUGGUGAAAUCUCACAGCUUAACUGUGAAACUGCCAUUGAUACUGCAGGUCUUGAGUGUUGUUGAAGUAGCUGGAAUAAGUAGUGUAGCGGUGAAAUGCAUAGAUAUUACUUAGAACACCAAUUGCGAAGGCAGGUUACUAAGCAACAACUGACGCUGAUGGACGAAAGCGUGGGGAGCGAACAGGAUUAGAUACCCUGGUAGUCCACGCCGUAAACGAUGCUAACUCGUUUUUGGAUUUUCGGAUUCAGAGACUAAGCG
rnacentral:rRNA from 1 species